rnacentral:rRNA from 1 species
UACGUAGGAGACGAGCGUUGUCCGGAGUUACUGGGCGUAAAGCGUGCGUAGGUGGUUUUUUAAGUCCGUUGUGAAAGCCCUGGGCUCAACCUGGGAAUGGCAGUGGAUACUGGAAAGCUAGAGUGCGGUAGAGGGUAGUGGAAUUCCCGGUGUAGCAGUGAAAUGCGUAGAGAUCGGGAGGAACACCAGUGGCGAAGGCGGCUACCUGGACCAGCACUGACACUGAGGCACGAAAGCGUGGGGAGCAAACAGG